rnacentral:rRNA from 1 species
GAUGAACGCUGGCGGCGUGCCUAAUACAUGCAAGUCGAGCGAACGGACGCGAAGCUUGCUUCUCUGAUGUUAGCGGCGGGCGGGUGAGUAACGCGUGGAUCCCCUCCCUAUAAGACUGGGAUAACUUCGGGACACCGGAGCUAAUACCGGAUAAUAUUUUGAACCGCAUGGUUCAAAGGUGAAAGACGGUCUUGCUGUCACUUAUAGAUGGAUCCGCGCUGCAUUAGCUAGUUGGUAAGGUAACGGCUUACCAAGGCAACGAUGCAUAGCCGACCUGAGAGGCGGAUCGGCGACCCGGGAACUGAGACACGGACCAGAGUCCUAAGGGAGGCAGCAGUAGGGAAUCUGCCGCAAUGGGCGAAAGCCUGACGGAGCAACGCGGCGUGAGUGAUGAAGGUCUUCGGAUCGUAAAACUCUGUUAUUAGGGAAGAACAGAUUUGUAAGUAACUGUGGACAGCUUGACGGUACCUAAUCAGAAAGCCACGGCUAACUACGUG